AAUGGUAUAAAGGGUAAAAAGGAUGAAGAUAGGGCGGAAAAGACAUGAGAAAUACAGAUUUCCCUCCUCUUUUUCCAUUUUUAUUCCUUUGUUUUCCAUAAUC
rnacentral:ribozyme from 12 species